AUUGAACGCUGGCGGAAUGCUUUACACAUGCAAGUCGAACGGCAGCACGGGGCAACCUGGUGGCGAGUGGCGAACGGGUGAGUAAUACAUCGGAACGUGCCCAGUCGUGGGGGAUAACGUAGCGAAAGUUACGCGAAUACCGCAUACGAUCUAAGGAUGAAAGCGGGGGAUCGCAAGACCUCGCGCGAUUGGAGCGGCCGAUGUCAGAUUAGGUAGUUGGUGGGGUAAAGGCCCACCAAGCCGACGAUCUGUAGCUGGUCUGAGAGGACGACCAGCCACACUGGGACUGGGCCACGGCCCAGACUCCUACGGGAGGCAGCAGUGGGGAAUUUUGGACAAUGGGCGCAAGCCUGAUCCAGCCAUUCCGCGGGCAGGAUGAAGGCCUUCGGGCUGUAAACUGCUUUUGUACGGAGCGAAAAGGCUCUCUCUAAUACAGGGGGCUCAUGACGGUACCGUAAGAAUAAGCACCGGCUAACUACGUGCCAGCAGCCGCCGUAA
rnacentral:rRNA from 1 species